CUUCGAGCACCGGAUACGUCAUAGGAGAUGACUUCCUCCUCUGUGAAAAAACCUCCAUCACCGUAGGAGUGACAGCGGAAGACUUAACACAUUCCACCAGACAAAAGUUAGAGACCUUGGAGCCUUAUGACCAUGUCCUGAGAGAGCUCCUGUAGUAAGAUUUAUGCAUUAUCCUAUGGCUGAGAUUUUGAUUCAGACCUGCUACUCAUCAUUGGCUCUCCCUGUUCACCCAGAAGACAGACUGCCAGUCCCUACUCCUUCAUCUGUGGAAAUCAGUGAGCUUUCCUCCAUCCCUACGGUACAUGAAUGGAAUCUCAUGACGCGGAGACUUGGGAAGGAAUAAAUAAAAACUGGGUUUUGUUCACAGGUGACAUGAAUGCCUACAUAAAAAAUAGGGGAAAAUAGGAGAAAAGAACCUAAUAAGUGAUUAAUAGUGGACUAAUAAGUGAUUAUAGAAUGAUUGUUGGAUGCAAGGCUAAUAUACUAAAUUUGAUCACUUUCUUAUAUACUGAAAUGGACAAACAGGAACUGAAAUUAAAAACAUGAGGCCUUUCCUAUUAGCAGCCCCCAAAUCAAAUAGUUAUAAAUCUAACAAGAUAACUAAAUAAAAAACUACCAAACUUUAGGGCA
ensembl:lncRNA